GGGAUAUUCGUACAGAGGCCUAGUACCUCAGUCUUCCAAACUGAUAACGCGGGUUCGAAUCCCGCAUAUCCCUC
rnacentral:tRNA from 1 species